ensembl:snRNA U6 U6 spliceosomal RNA
UUGCUACGGCUGCACAUAUACUAAAAUUGGAACGAUUGAAACGAUACAGAGAAGAUUUGCUUGGCCCCUGCGAAAGGAUGACACGCAAAUCCAUGAAGCGCUCCAUAUUUUG